rnacentral:rRNA from 1 species
AGUGAACGCUGGCGGUAGGCCUAACACAUGCAAGUCGAACGGCAGCACAGUAAGAGCUUGCUCUUACGGGUGGCGAAUGGCGGACGGGUGAGGAAUACAUCGGAAUCUACUUUUUCGUGGGGGAUAACGUAGGGAAACUUACGCUAAUACCGCAUACGACCUACGGGUGAAAGCAGGGGAUCUUCGGACCUUGCGCGAUUGAAUGAGCCGAUGUCGGAUUAGCUAGUUGGCGGGGUAAAGGCCCACCAAGGCGACGAUCCGUAGCUGGUCUGAGAGGAUGAUCAGCCACACUGGAACUGAGACACGGUCCAGACUCCUACGGGAGGCGGCAGUGGGGAAUAUUGGACAAUGGGCGCAAGCCUGAUCCAGCCAUACCGCGUGGGUGAAGAAGGCCUUCGGGUUGUAAAGCCCUUUUGUUGGGAAAGAAAAGCAGCAGGUUAAUACCCCGCUGUUCUGACGGUACCCAAAGAAUAAGCACCGGCUAACUUCGUG